GAUGAACGCUGGCGGCGUGCCUAAUACAUGCAAGUCGAGCGAACAGAUGCGGAGCUUGCUCCUCUGACGUUAGCGGCGGACGGGUGAGUCACACGUGGAUACCCUACCUAUAAGACUGGGAUCACUUCGGGAAACCGGAGCUAAUACCGGAUAAUAUAUUGAACCGCAUGGUUCAAUAGUGAAAGACGGUUUUGCUGUCACUUAUAGCUGCAUCCGGGCCGCAUUAGCUAGUUGGUAAGUUAAAGGCUUACCAAGGCAACGAUGCGUAGCCGACGUGAGAGAGUGAUCGCCCACACUGGAACUGAGACGCGGUCCAGGGUCCUACGGGAGGCAGCAGUAGGGAAUCGUACGCAAUGGGCGAAAGCAUGACGGAGCAACGCCGCGUGAGUGAUGAAGGUCUUCGGAGCGUAAAACUCUGUUAUUAGGGAAGAACAAAUGUGUAAGGAACUAUGCACGUCUUGACGGUAACUAAUCAGAAAGCCACGGCUAACUACGUG
rnacentral:rRNA from 1 species